rnacentral:misc_RNA from 1 species
CAACAUUUUGGAUGAUGAGCUGAUUGAGGAUGUUGGUAAUUACAUCUUAAGCUGUCAGACUUAUGAAGGUGGUAUUGCAGGAGAACCUGGCUCUGAAGCUCAUGGUGGAUACACAUUUUGUGGACUGGCAGGAAUGAUUUUGAUCAAUGAGGCCAAUCGUUUGGACUUGGCUGGUUUACUUGAUUGGGUUGUAUUUCGACAAGGAGUAGAGUGUGGAUUUCAGGGGAGAACAAACAAAUUGGUUGAUGGCUGCUACUCCUUCUGGCAGGGAAGUGUAUUUGCACUAUUGCAAAGAUUACAUUCAGUUAAUGGUAAACGUGUGGCUCUUUCCGAUGCUGAAGAAGGAGAUUGUGCUACAGAUAGCACUUCUGAAGGAGAACUUACAGAUGGAAAUUCAUCAGAGACGGAUGAGACUUGCCAUAUGAAACAGGGAGUAGGACAUGGAGAAAUGGAGCCCCUUUUUCACAGCAUAGCCUUGCAGCAGUACAUAAUUCUAUGCUCACAGGAACAGGGGGGUGGAUUCAGAGACAAACCUGGGAAGGCCAGGGACUAUUAUCACACGUGCUAUUGUUUGAGUGGCCUCUCUGUAUGUCAGUAUAGCUGGUCGAAGGAUGAGAAUUCUCCACCUCUGCCAAAGGCGGUGUUAGGUCCCUACUCGAAUCUUUUGGAACCCAUCCAUCCUCUACAUAAUGUGGUCUUAAAGCAGUACCAUGAGGCUCAUGAAUUCUUUUCCUCCCAAAGCACAUCUUAGUCAGUUAUUCUAAAGUUGAGAUGUGAUGCAAAUUUUUUAUAGUACUGUGAAACUUCAAUCCAUUUCAUAGAUUGUAGGAAAGAGCUUAAUUGUGUACCAUAGUGAUGGUAUUUUCUAGGUUGCAGCAUGUGCAUUGUAUAAUUUGACUUCUGAUCAGUAAUUAAUAUUCUCC